UAAAACUGUGAUUUGUAUGCAUUGAUGCAAUAUUCUAAAUACAACUUUCAUCAAAAGAAAAUAAACAAUAGAGAGAAUGAACAAAUUUAUCGUUAUGACACUUGUUAUUUAUUGUAGAUUUCUUAUGCAACUCAUCGAUAAAGUAUUGGAAGUCCCAGAUAAAUUUCUUCAACAUAACAUCCAACCUUCGUCAACAUAAGUCAAAAACAGCACACAUCAAAUAAAAAUAAAAUAUUCUUUAACAAAACAUUGCCUAAUCAAUUUCGUGAAUAUAGGUUUUAAAACCAUAGUGACUUCUUUUUACAUAUCGUAUGGACAUUCCAGUUGCUUGUCUCUUCUUUACUUCUAAACUAGCAGACCCGACCACGCGUUACUGUGGCUGAGUAAUUAAGGAAGGACUUAAUAGACAAAAUUGAACACUAAUUUACAUAACAUCUUUAAUUUAAUUUUAUUAAUAAAUACUAUGAUUAACAUAAAUUAAAUAAAAUCACAGUUAAAGUUUACUGAAGUGCCAAUCGAUGAACAAUAUUUUUGGUCAGCCUGUCUUUUGUCAACACAAAUAAUUGCCCAUGAGAGAAACAUGGAUUCUCUAAGUCUAAGCUUUAAUGCACCACAAUACUCGCAAACAACGUCCAUUUGCCCAAUGCAAACGCUAUGAUGCAAGCUGUAAUCAUUGCUGCAAUCGUAUCGAAACGCUGCUCGAUUCAAAUCAUCUAAAUAUCUUGUUCUGCGCCGCAAAUUAUCUAUUUGUUGCCUUCUGUUGUUCGCUCGACGAUUCUGCAUUGCCAACCGAGCUGUUUCACGGGCUGCUUCACUUUGCUCUCGUGAUUGAGAAGCACGAAUCCUUUCAUUUGCAGUAUUUUGUAUUCUUCUUGCAUUACGGCUUUGUCGGGAAAGAUUCGAUCGUCUUGGUCGCGGCAUUAUUAAUUAAACUUCACUUCACUUUUAAUUAAACUUCACUUCACUUCAAUCCACUUCUUAAUUAUUUAUUUAAUAGAAAUAGUUUUAAUAUUGAUU